UCUCCGUAGGUGAACCUGCGGAGGGAUCAUUACAGAGUUCAUGCCCUAACGGGUAGAUCUCCCACCCUAUGUUAUCAUCACUUUGUUGCUUUGGCGGGCCGUCAGGCCUCGGCUUGGCUACCAGCUCUCGCUGGUAAGCGCCCGCCAGAGAACCCCAAACCCUGAAUAUCAGUGUCGUCUGAGUACUAUAUAAUAGUUAAAACUUUCAACAACGGAUCUCUUGGUUCUG
rnacentral:misc_RNA from 1 species